UAUCUGAAAAAAACAAAUGAAAAUCAUAACAGCCUCCAGUGUCAGUCUUCUAUUUCCAAUUUUUGUUAGACAUUUCCACAUGAAAGGACUCUCAUCAGCUUAAAUUCAAAAUGUAAAAAUCAACCCAUUUUUCCUUUCCAAAACUGAGGCAUUUUCUCACAGCUCCUCUUUCUGUAAAUAUAUAUUCACUCUACAAGAAUUUAUUGGGCACCUGCUGUGUAGUGGACACAGUGGCUGAUAACGGGCACCUACUGUGUAGUGGACACGGUGGCUGAUAUGGAUCAGCUAUCAAAGGCAAGGCCUUUGCCCUCAAGACGUUUCCAGUGAGUCCAGUGGGGAAGGCCCUGUGGAGUGAUGAGAGGAUGAGUUUGGCCUGGUUUCCUCUGUCUAGCACACUUGCUUUCCCAUGUGGCACCUUCCACCAUGCAAUGACCUUCACCAGUUUCCAGCACCAUUCUCUUGAACUUCCCAGCCUCCAGAACCAUGAGCCCAAUAAACUUCUAUUCUUUAUACAUUA